GAUGAAGAACGUAGCAAAAUGCGAUAAGUAAUGUGAAUUGCAGAAUUCAGUGAAUCAUCGAAUCUUUGAACGCACCUUGCGCUCCUUGGCAUUCCGAGGAGCAUGCCUGUUUGAGUGUCAUUAAAUUCUCAAGACCUGUCUGCUUUUUUGAUAGGUAUUGGAUUUUGGGGGUUGCAGGCUGUUUCAAAUAAAUAGCCUUGCUCUCCUUGAAUGUAUUAGUGGAGAAAAGCCAUUGAACUCCAUUGGUGUGAUAAAACCUAUCAAUGCCAGGAGCAAUAUCACUACUUCUCUCUGCUGUCUAACUGUGACUGUCUGUAUUAAUUAGUAUGGAUGGGGACAACUUGACCAACUUGACCUCAAAUCAGGUAGGACUACCCGCUGAACUUAAGCAUAUCAAUAAGCGGAGGA
rnacentral:misc_RNA from 1 species